AAACGCUUGAAGUCAGUCACGUCUACUGGGAAUCAGCCUUGCUUGCUUGGUGUACUUCCUAGUAGACGGGUCAACAUCAGUUUUGGUCGUUGGAAAAAGGCUUAGGGAAUGUGGCAUCUCCGGAUGUGUUAUAGCCCUAGGUCAUAUACAACGACUGGGACUGAGGCAUUCAGCACGCCGCAAGGCCGGGUUUCGACCACGUUCGUGCUUAGGAUGUUGGCAUAAUGGCUUUAAUCGA
rnacentral:rRNA from 1 species